rnacentral:rRNA from 1 species
GACGAACGCUGGCGGCGUGCUUAACACAUGCAAGUCGAACGGAAAGGCCCUGCUUUUGUGGGGUGCUCGAGUGGCGAACGGGUGAGUAACACGUGAGUAACCUGCCCUUGACUUUGGGAUAACUUCAGGAAACUGGGGCUAAUACCGGAUAGGAGCUCCUGCUGCAUGGUGGGGGUUGGAAAGUGUCGGCGUUUGGGGAUGGACUCGCGGCUUAUGAGCUUGUUGGUGGGGUAGUGGCUUACCAAGGCUUUGACGGGUAGCCGGCCUGAGAGGGUGACCGGCCACAUUGGGACUGAGAUACGGCCCAGAAGCCUACGGGAGGCAGCAGUGGGGAAUAUGGCACAAUGGGCGGAAGCCUGAUGCAGCAACGCCGCGUGCGGGAUGACGGCCUUCGGGUGGUAAACAGCUUUCGCAUGUGACGAAGCGUGAGUGACGGUAAUGGGUAAAGAAGCACCGGCUAACUACGUG